rnacentral:rRNA from 1 species
GGAUCAGGUAGGAAUACCCGCUGAACUUAAGCAUAUCAUGACGGGAGGGA